AGUGUGAGACUGAUUGAAUUGAGU
rnacentral:miRNA from 1 species